rnacentral:tRNA from 1 species
CUAGAUGUGGCUGAGAGGUUAAAGCAUCUGUCUGCAAUGCGGGAGACCUGGGUUCGAUCCCUGGGUCGGGA